rnacentral:rRNA from 1 species
UACGUAGGGUGCGAGCGUUAAUCGGAAUUACUGGGCGUAAAGCGUGCGCAGGCGGUUAUUUAAGACAGAUGUGAAAUCCCCGGGCUCAACCUGGGAACUGCGUUUGUGACUGGAUAGCUAGAGUACGGCAGAGGGGGGUGGAAUUCCACGUGUAGCAGUGAAAUGCGUAGAUAUGUGGAGGAACACCAAUGGCGAAGGCAGCCCCCUGGGUCGAUACUGACGCUCAUGCACGAAAGCGUGGGGAGCAAACAGG